rnacentral:rRNA from 1 species
CCUACGGGAGGCAGCAGUGAGGAAUAUUGGUCAAUGGUCGGGAGUCUGAACCAGCCAAGUCGCGUGAGGGAUGACUGCACAGUGUAUUGUAAACUUCUUUUGUCAGGGAAUAAAACGAGGCACGUGUGCCUUUUUGCAUGUACUUUAUGAAUAAGGAUCGGCUAACUCCGUGCCAGCAGCCGCGGUAAUACGGAGGAUCCGAGCGUUAUCCGGAUUUAUUGGGUUUAAAGGGAGCGUAGAUGGGUUGUUAAGUCAGUUGUGAAAGUUUGCGGCUCAACCGUAAAAUUGCAAUUGAUACUGGCAGUCUUGAGUACAGUUGAGGUAGGCGGAAUGCGUGGUGUAGCGGUGAAAUGCUUAGAUAUCACGAAGAACUCCGAUUGCGAAGGCAGCUUACUAA